GUACCCGCUGAACUUAAGCAUAUCAAUAAGCGGAGGAAAAGAAACUAACAAGGAUUCCCCUAGUAACGGCGAGUGAAGCGGGAACAGCUCAAAUUUGAAAUCUCACAAGGUCACUUGUGCGAAUUGUAGUUUAGAGAAACGUUUUCGGGGGCGACGUGGGUAUAAGUCCUUUGGAAAGAGGCAUCAUAGAGGGUGAGAAUCCCGUUUAUGAUCCACUGUUCGCUCCUACGUGAUACGUUUUCCAAGAGUCAUGUAGUUUGGGAUUGCUGCAUAAAAUGGGUGGUAAAUACCAUCUAAAGCUAAAUAUUGGCGGGAGACCGAUAGCGAACAAGUACCGUGAGGGAAAGAUGAAAAGAACUUUGAAAAGAGAGUUAAACAGUACGUGAAAUUGCCAAAAGGGAAACGCUUGGAACCAGUAUUGCUUUCAAGUAAUCAACUUCACGUCCCGCAAGGGUCGCGUGGGGUGCACUUGCUUGCAAGCGAGCCAACAUCAGUUUGGCUUGGGGUAAAAAGCCAGAGGAAGGUAGCUUGAACUUCGAUUUGAGUGUUAUAGCCUCCGGUCAUGCCUUGGGCCAGACUGAGGUCUGCAGCGUUAUUUGGAUUCCCGGUUGCCUCUUGAGACCAACCCUAGACAGCACGCUGACUAGGGUGACGUUUAGAGAGCUCAGCCGGUUCAUCACACCUACGCUUAGGAUGUUGGCGAAAUGGUUCCAAACGACCCGUCUUGAAACACGGACCAAGGAGUCUAACAUAUAUGCGAGUAUUUGGGUGGCAAACCCUCAUGCGCAAUGAAAGUGAACUUAGGUGGGAUCUUCGGUGCACCAUCGACCGGUCUGGAUUUUUUUUGAUAGAUCUGAGUAAGAGCAUACAUGUUGGGACCCGAAAGAUGGUGAACUAUGCCUGAAUAGGGUGAAGCCAGAGGAAACUCUGGUGGAGGCUCGUAGCGAUUCUGACGUGCAAAUCGAUCGUCAAAUUUGGGUAUAGGGGCGAAAGACUAAUCGAACCAUCUAGUAGCUGGUUCCCUCCGAAGUUUCCCUCAGGAU
rnacentral:rRNA from 1 species